rnacentral:rRNA from 1 species
UACGAAGGGGGCUAGCGUUGCUCGGAAUUACUGGGCGUAAAGCGCACGUAGGUGGCUUUUUAAGUCGGGGGUGAAAUCCUGGAGCUCAACUCCAGAACUGCCCUCGAUACUGGGAGCUUGGAGUUCGGGAGAGGUGAGUGGAACUGCGAGUGUAGAGGUGAAAUUCGUAGAUAUUCGCAAGAACACCAGUGGCGGAAGGCGGCUCACUGGCCCGAUACUGAACGCUGAGGUGCGAAA